ACUAAAACCAUCUGGCCAUGGGCUUCUUUUGAUUGGGAGACUUUGAUAUUGCUGCUAUUUCCCAAGUGUUGUUAGGUCAAUUUCAAUUGUGUCUCCAUUACGCUCUUCUUUGCUGAGAAGAGAUAUCAUGACCAAGGCAGCUCUUCUAAGGGACAACAUUUAAUUGGUUCUGGCUUACAGGUUCUGAGGUUCAAUCCAUUGUUGUCAUGGUAGGAAGCAUGGCAGCAUCCAGGCAGACGUGGUUCUAGAGGAGUUGAUAGUUCUGUGUUUGAUCUGACUGUAUCCAGAAGAAAUUAACUCUUCCACACUGGGCAAAGCUUGAAAGCCCAUCCCCACAAUGAUGCACUUCUUCCAACAAGACCAUACCCACUCCAUCAAGAUCAUACCUCCUAAUAAUGCCACUUGCCACAGCAAACCAUAUUCAGACAUCUACACAUUGCUUAUCUGAUGUUGGUUUUAUUUGGUAUCUGGAGAGGACAGAUCAGAGCAUUGGGUGCCCUGGAGAUGGUUUUACAAGAAACUCAAGAAUGGUGCUGGGAACGGAAUUGAGGUUUUGUAGAAGAAUAGUAAGUAUUCUUAACUGCUGAGCCAUCUCUCCAACCCCAAGAUCUAUAUAUUGCUACAUUUAGGUAGAUAUACAUAUAGUGCUUAUAUGUGCAUGCAUACAAAUAUCUCUCAGAUAAGCAUGAAAUUAAAAUAAUUCAGGCAAGGUUGUUUAAUUUGAAAGUGUAUAAAAUCUCAUGAGAGUUACAUAAUGUGGUAUUUCUACUUGGCAAUAAAUUUUUUCUUACUCUCCUUUUACAAAGUAUUGUUAAGAGUUCUAAAAAAAUAAUUUUAUGUGUGCUUUGUGGACAUGAAAAUUUCCAUUAAUUAAAUUGGAUAUACUCUGAAUUCCAGAUCUUUAAAGUACUACCUUUGGAGUAGGCUUAGGCAAAUCCUUAGAUGAAUACCAGAAACAACAUUUCUGAACAGUUUAGAUACAAAAUAUGUGUGAAUUUACUUCAUGUUAACAUCAUAAAUAGCAAUUGGAAAUUUAAAAAGGAAUUUCUUAAAGCAUUUGGGAGAGUUAUUAAUUUGAAGCAGCACGGCUCAUGCUGCUUUCAAGUGUUCUUAUUUUUAUUCUGGUAUGACUGUUGGAAUAUCAUUAAAAUUCUCUCUGUGGUAAUCUAGGGAACUAGAAGAGGAUUAGGGUAAGAAGAUAACUGGAGAUAAAAAUAAACCCAUAAUCUAGGAUCUCAAGGAAGUCCUAAGGUUGACAGAGAUGGGAGACAAAUUAGGCUAAGUGGUUACAUUGUAAGAUGUCAGUAAGGGUUUGUGGGCCCUUCAAUAAGUAUUCACUAAUAGGAUAUGUUCAUAGUCAGACAGGAGUUUUAAAUUUAUGUAUUUAGUGAUAUUAAUAGAGGAAUUUUAAGCAUUUAGGGGUUACAAUAAAUCUGUGCAUCCUAGUCUUAAACACAUACCUAAUAACUAUGUUGUUAAUGAAAAACAGAUGACAGAGAUACAAAUUUAACAUUAAUGUGGUUCAACUAGUAGCUACAUAAUCAAGAGAGAUGAGUGUAUAGUUUCAGUUUCAGGGCAAAAAAGCUGAGCUAUCAGUUGACUACUUAUAAAAGCUGGCAGGAAUGAGAUUUUUUUCCUCCUAAAUUUCAACUAAGUUAUUUAGGAAUAGAAUAUAUACACGUGUUUGAGUUUGGAAGAUACUUGAAAUUAUCAAUUUUAUGAAAACAUUUGGCUUGGAUCACUGACCGUGUGGUACACAAUAUGCUUGGAUUUUUUUUUAUCCCUUGAAAUAUGAUGGGAAUGUCAGGAUAACAGAAUAAACAAUAGCAGUGAUUAAUAAAAAGAAGUAGUAUGAAGUGGGUCAAGACCUUUCCAUAACACCAUGGGGACUGAAAUUCAGAUACUCAGCACUCAUACACAUGCUAGGUAGGUGUGUCUUCCAGCUUGUAAUAUCAGUGUUCUGUUUGGAGGAACAGGUUUCCUGGAACAAGCUAGCCAAAAAUCAGCAAUCUUUGAUUUUAGAACCAGAGACCCUUCCUCAGAAUAAAAGACAGAAAGCCAUCAAAGAUGACACUUGACAUCAACCUCCAUGUGUGUGUGUGUGUGUGUGUGUGUGUGUGUGUGUGUGUGUGUGUGAGAGAGAGGGAGAGAGAGAGAGAGAGAGAGAGAGAGAGAGAGAGAAUAAAACCAAUCCUAAACUAUAUCUAAUUUUAAAAGGUAAAGGAACGCUGUAAUAUUUGCCCAUGCUCAUAAAGCAAAUAAAGUAAGCAACUUGAGGUAGUUGAGCAAAUUUGAAGUAGGAUUCUUGAGAUUCAGACCCACCACUUUCUGUUUUUACCCACAAAGUCGUCAUACUAAUGUUCUUUAGUGAUUUUAGAAUAAAAGACAUAAUGUUAUAUAAAAAUGUCUAGUGGGCAAUUAUAUAAAAUGAUACUCUUAGAAUUAGUUCACUUAAGUGCAUAAAAGCUCAAUAUAGCUUCAGGUUCCACCUGUGCCCAGAGCUGACCCUGUUCCACAGCUCUCAGUAUCCAGAUCCUGCUGGAAGAAAGCCUGUCUCCAGGAAUGCUGAUACACCUGAGGGCACAGGUAAGACCACCACUUCUGCACCGAGGGACCUGGCUAGAGCCCUCAGGACAUAGGAAUUGAAGAGCAGUUUGGAACAGGAUCAUUAUGGUUUCUGCCUAUGCCCAGAGCUGACCUGGUCCCACAGCUUUCUGUGCACAGAUUCCAUGGGGAGAGAGCUGGAUUCUCAAAAGUGCGGAUAAUCCUGAGAGAGCACAGAUGAGACCACCACUUCCGUUCACAUUCCUGGCCCAAGAGGAACCUGAGAUCACCCUUUGGACACAGGAACCCAGGAGCAAUCUGGGACAGGAUCCUUCUGGUUUCCACUUAUGCCUGGAGUUGACCAUGUGCCACAUCUCUCUGUACCCAGAUCUUACUGGGAGAAAGCCAGUUUCUGAGAAUACUGACACACAGGCUUACAGGAGGGUCAAGCCACUGUCAGAGACAGCAAGACCAGCUAACACCAGAGAUAAGCUGAAGGCAAGAGGUAUGAGUAAGAAUAUAAGCAACAGAACCAAAGGCCACUUGGGAUCAUCAGAACCCAGUUCUCCCACCAAAGCAAGCCCUGGAUACCACAACACACUGGAGAAAAAAAGAUUUUGAUUUAACAUCACAACUCAUUUUGAUAUUAGAAGAUUUUAAGGACAGAAAUAACUCUCUUGGAGUAAUACAGGACAACACAGGUAAACAGGUAGAAACCCUUAGAGAAGAAACACAAAAGUCCUUUAAAGAAUUACUGGAAAAUACAACCAAACAGGUGAAGGAAUUGAACAAAACUAUCCAGGGUCUAAAAAUGGAAAUAGAAAAAAUAAAGAAGUCACAAAGGGAGACAAUCAUGGAAAUAAAAGACCUAGGAAAGAGAUCAGGAGUCAUAGACACAAGCAUUACCAAUAAAAUACAAGAGAUAGAAAAGAGAAUCUCAGGAGCAGAAGAUACCAUAGAAAACAUUGUCAAAGAUAAUGGAAAAUGGAAAAAAAGCUCCUAACUGAAAACAUCCAGGAAAUCCAGGACAUAAUGAGAUCAAUCCUAAGGAUAAUAGGUAUAGAAGAGAAAGAAGACUCCCAACUUAAAGGGCCAGGAAAUAUCUUCAACAAAAUUAUAGAAGAAAACUUCCCUAGCCUAAAGAAAGAGAUGUCCACAGAACAUACUAGAAGCCUAUAGAACUCCAAAUAGAUUGGACCAGGAAAGAAAUUCCUCCUGUCAUGUAACAGUGAAAACACCAAACACACAAAACAAAAAGGUAAGAAAGAACACUUCAUAAUUAUUAAAGGAAAAUUCCACCAAGAUGAAUUCUGAUUCCUGAAUAUCUAUGCUCCAAAUACAAGGGCACCUACAUACAUAAAAGAAACCUUACUAAAGCCCAAAGCACACACUGCACCUCACACAAUAAUAAUAGGAGAUUUCAACACCCCACUCUCAUCAAUGGACAGAUCAUGGAAACAGAAACUAAAUACAGAUACAAAGAAAGAACAGAAGCUAUGAACCAAAUGGAUUUAACAGAUAUCUAUAGAAUAUUUCAUCCUAAGACAAAAGAAUAUACCUUCUUCUCGCACAUAAUGUUACUUUAUCCAAAAUUGACCAUAAAAUCAGUCACAAAACAGGCCUCAACAGAUACAAGAAGAUUGAAAUAAUCCCAUGCAUACUAUCGGAUCACCAGAACUGGUUUUCAACUACAACAAAAACAAAAGAAAGCCCACUUAGACAUGGAAGCUGAACAAUGCUCUACUCAAUGAUAACUCGGUCAAGGAAGAAAUCAAGAAAAAAAAUUAAAGACUUCUUAGAAUUUAAUGAAAAUGGAGGCACAACAUGCCCAAACUUAUGGGAUACAAUGAAAGCAGUGCUAAGAGGAAACCUCAUAGCUCUGAGUACCUCCAAAAAGAAACUGGAGAGAGCAUAUAUCAGCAGCUUGACAGCACACUUAAAAGCUCUAGAAGAAAAAGAAGUAAAUACACCCAGGAGGAGUAGAAGGCAGGAAAUUAUCAAAUUCAGGGCUGAAAGCAACCAAGUAGAAACCAAAACAACUAUACAAAGAAUCAACACAAAUAGGAACUGGUUCUUUGCGAAAAUCAGCAAGAUAGAUAAACCCUUAGCCAGACUAAUCAGAGGGCACAGAAAGAGUAUCCAAAUUUAAAAAAAAAAUCAGAAAUGAAAAUGGAGACAUUACAACGGAAACUAGGGAAAUCAAAAAAUGUCAUCAGGGCCUACCUCAAAAGCCUAUACUCAACAAAACUAGAAAAUCUGGAGGAAAUGGACAAUUUUAUAGACAGAUACCAGGUACCAAAGUUACAUCAGGAUCAGAUAAACCAUUUAAACAAUUUCAUAACUCCUAAAGAAAUGGAAGCAGUCAUUAAAAUCUUCCAACCAAUAAAAGCCCAGGACCAGAUGGGUUUACUGCAGAAUUGUAUCAGACCUUCUUAGGAGACCUAAUACCAAUACUGUACAAACUAUUACACAAAAUAGAAACUGAAACAACACUACCCAAUUAUUUCUAUGAAGCCAUAAUUACGCUGAUACCUAAACCACACAAAGACCCAACAAAAAAAGAGUACUUCAACCCAAUUUUUCUUGUGAAUUUCAAUGCAAAGAUACUUAAUAAAAUUAUAAACAACUAAAUCCAAGAGAACAUCAAAACCAUUGUCCAUCCUGAUGAAGUAGGUUUCAUCCCAGUGAUGCAGGGAUGGUUCAAAUAUAUGGAAAUCCAUCAAUGUAAUCCAGUAUAUAAACAAACUCAGAGAAAAAAACCACAUAAAUAUCUCCUUAAAUGCUGAAAAAAGCAUUUGACAAACUUCAACAACCCUUUAUGUUAAAAGUCUUGGAUUGAUCAGGAAUUCAAGGCCCAUACCUAAACAUAGUAAAAGCACAACAGCAAAACAAUGUUGUGGUAAAAAAAAAAAGGAACAUUUUUUAUUGAUUUUUUAUUUACAUUUUAAAUGUUAUCCCCUUUGCUGGUUUCCCAUUCAUAAACUCUUUAUCCCACCCUUACUCCCUCUUCUUCCCUGAGGAUGUUUUCUAUCAGUUCUCAAGAGCAGGAUCUGCUUGCUCAGGUUGCUACAGUGAUAUGUGGUCCACAAGCUGCCCACGCAAGGCUGUCUCCCUUAUACUCACCCUCUCUGCCUGUUCCCCAAGUGGUAGCUACCACGCCUGAGGUGCACACACACAUACUUUGUUCUGUGGGCCCUCCACAUUCUCACUCAACUUGGUCAACAGAACCAAAUCCACAUGCUCCAAUUAUCUCUCAGCCAUUUCUUUCACACACUGUCCUCUUUAGCUUGGGAAAAACAAAGUUCCAGUAACUUGUAAUUUAGCAAUUAGAUUUACAUGUUAAAUUAUCAACCUACAACUUUUCUGCACAAUAAAUUCACUGCCAAUUGAUAAAAAUAUAAACCACCCAAUAAGAGAGGAUAAAAUUGAACUAGUUCACCUGAAUCUGAACCUUCCUCCUCCUUAGAAUUUUUCUUGACCCUGCUCCUUCCUUCUCUCUCCCACCUUAUAAAACUUUGUCCCUGCUCCACUCUCUACUGUCCAACUAUACAGCACCUUGACAUCAACAUAUAAACCAAUAGGCAAAAAUCAAAUGAAAUAGAGAGAUACCUGAAGCAAUCCCAAUAAAAUCACGGACUAGACAAGGUUGCCCACUCUCUUCCUACCUAUUCAAUAAGUACUGAAAGUCCUAGGCAGAGCAAUCAGACACAAAGGAGGUCAAAGCUAUACAAAUUGGAAAGGAAGAAGUAAAAUCACUAUUUGCAGACACUAUGAUAAUAUACUUAAGUGACCCCAAAAAUUUCACCAGAGAACUCCUGAACCUGAUAAACAAUUUCAGUAAGGUGACUGGGUAUGGAAUUAACUCUAAUCAGUAGCCUUCCUCUAAGCAAAAGAUAAACAGUCUGAGAAAGAAAUAUGGAAAUCAACACCCUUCAUAUUAGUCCUAAAUAAUAUAAAAUAUCUCUGUGUAACUCUAACAAAGGAAGUAAAAGAUCUGUCUAAUGAGAACUUCAAGUUUCUGAAGAAAGAAAUUGAAGAAGAUCUCUGAAAAUGGAAAGAUCAUCUAUGCUCAUGGAUUGGCAGAAUUAAUAUAGUAAAGAUGGCCAUUUUGCCAAAGCAGAUUUAAUGCAAUCCCCAUCAAAAUUUCAGCUCAAUUCUUCACAGAGUUAGAAAGAAAAAUUUGCAAAUUCAUUUAGAAUAACAAAAAGCCCAGGAUAGCAAAAUCUAUCCUCAACAAUAAAAGAUUUUCUGGAGGAAGCACCAUCCCUGACUUCAGACUGUAUUACAGAGCAAUGGUGAUAAAAAAAAAAACAAAACUGUAUGGUAUUGAUACAAAGACGGGCAGGUAGGUCAAUGAAAUAGACCUGAAGACCUAGAAAUGAACCCACACACCCAUGGUCACUUGAUCUUUGACAAAGGAGCUAAAACCAUUCAGUAGAAAAAGGAUACCAUUUUCAACAAAUGGUGCUGUUUCAACUGGCAGUCAGCAUGUAGAAGAAUACAAAUCAAUCCAUUUUUAUCACCCCGUACAAAGCUCAAGUCCAAGUGUAUCAAGGAACUCCACAUAAAAUUAGAUACACUUAAACUAAUACAAGAAAAAGUGGGGGAGAGCCUCGGACACAUGGGCACUAGGGAAAAUUUCCUGAAUGGAACGGCUACUGCUUAUGCUCAAAGAUCAAGAAUCAACAAAUGGGACCUCAUAAUAUUUCAAAGCUUCUGUAAAACAAGGGACACUGUCAUUAGAACAAAACAACAAGCAAUAGAUUAGGAAAAGAUCUUUAACAGUCCUACAUCUGAUAGGGGGCUAAAAUCCAAUAUAUACAAAGAACUCAAGAAGCUAGACUCCAGACAAUCAAAUAAGUGUAUGAAAAAUGGGGUGCAGAGCUAAACAAAGAAUUCUCAACUGAGAAAUAUCGAAUGGUAAAGAAGCACCUAAACAAAAGUUCAACAUCCUUAGUCAUCAGGGAAAUGCAAAUCAAAACAACAAUGAAAUUCAACCUCACACCAGUCCGAUUGGCUAAGACCAAAAACUAAGUUGACAACAGAUGCUGAAGAGGGCAUGGAGAAAGAGAAACACUCCUUCUUUGGUGGGGAGAUUGAAAGCUAGUACAAUCACUCUGGAAAUCAGUCUGGUGGUUCCUCAGAGCACUGGACAUAGUACUACCUAAGGUCACAGCUAUACCACUCCUGGGCAUAUACUGAAAAGAUGCUCCAACAUAUGACAAGGACACAAGCUCCACUAUGUCCAUAGAAGCCUUAUUUAUAAUAGCCAGAAGCUGGAAAGAGCCCAAAUGCCCUUCAAAAGAGGAAUAGAUACAGAAAAUGUGGUACAUUUACACCAUAGAGUACUAAUCAGUUAUUAAAAAGAAUAACUUCAUGAAAUUCUUAGACAAGGAAAUGGAAUUAGAAAAUAUCAUCCUGAGUGAGGUAACCCAGUCACAAAAGAAUUCACAUGAUAUUCAUUCACUGAUAAGUAGAUAUUAGCCCAAAAACUUGAAAGCCCAAGACCAAUUCCCAGACCACAUAAAGCCCAGGAAGGACAACCAAGGUGCAGAUGCUUCAGUUCUUCUAGAAGGGCGAACAAGACUAUUCUUAAGAGGAAAUACAGAGACAAAUUUUGGAGCGCAGAUUGAAGGAAAGGUCAUCCAGAAACUACCCUCCUGGGGAUCCAGCCACAUACCACAUACUGCCAACAAACCCAGACAAUAUUGCUGAUGCCAUGAAGUGCAUACUGACAGGAGGAUGAUAUAACUGUCUCCUGAGAGGCUCUGCCAGAGCAUGACAAAUGAAAAGGCAGAUGCUUGAAGCCAACCAUUGUACUGAUAACAGGGUCUCCACUGGAAGAAUUAGAGAAACGAUUGAGGAAGCUGAAGGGUUUUGCAAUCCCAUAAGAACAAUAAUAACAACGAACCAGAGCUCCCAGGGACUAUACCACCAUCAAAAGAGUACACAUGGACAGACCCAUGGUUCCAGCUGCAUAUGUAGCAGGGAUGGCCUUCUUGAGCACGAAUUAGAGAAGUCUUUGACCCUGCCAUGGCUUGAUGCCUCAGUAUUGGGGAAUAUGAGGACAGUGAGGUGGAAGGGGUUAGUGGUUGGGUAGGGGAACACCCUCAUUGAAGCAGAGGGAGGGUGAUGGAAUAGGGUUUUUAUGGAUAGGAAACCAGGAAAGGGCAUUUCAUUUGAAAUGUAAAUAAAAAUAUUCAAUAAAAACUCAACAUACUUGUGUGAGUACUGUGGACAUGGAACCCACAUAAACAUCCCAUAUGUGAUCGCUUUUUUGUGAAACAAAAAGAAAAGGAAACUUUUAGACUUCUGCAAAAUACUUGCAAAUAAGAUCACACAUGUCUUUCAAAUUUUUGUCUUUAAACAUUGUCAUGACCAUGUUGAUAGCGUAGCUUUAGACUAGUUCCUUUUUUAAAAAAUAUGUUUUGCUAUGCAGUCCAGACUGUCCUCUGUCCUCGAGUCCUUCCCAGUUCUAACUUUUCCUUAACCACCGGAUACUGGAAUUGCAGGCUUAACUGACUAUGCCCAACUAGUCGCUCAACUUCGUUUUGGCAGCUUCACUUUUAUGACUGCUGACAUGGGGCCAAACACAUGACAUGUAUAAUUACACUAAUUUAUGACACAGAUAUCCAUGAGACCAACAUUUUGCAGCGGAAUGAUAUUGUUAGUGCAAAAUUCUAAUGUACAGGACUUCGUUAUUACCUUUAUUCUCUUAGAGCUCAUGGAUGAGCAAUGACCUCCCAUUCAGGUUGUAGACAACAAAUCUUUUAAAUGACAUUUUGACUAUAGGCAUAUGCCACUUUCAAUUAUAUGGUACGUUGUCUGAAAUAUAGUUUGACAAUGCCCAGUCAAGUCCAGUAAUUACAUCUUAUUAUCCUGAAUGAGGUAAUGCAUGGCUAGGUGCAAUGUAAUUAAUCUUACAUUAGUAGUUUCUAUAAACAUCUGAUAUGUUUGAAGAAGCUUAAUUAUUUCAAGUGGAAAACCUGGCUCAACUUUACAACAUCUCAGUCGAUUUAGAAGAGGUACUUCAGUGAGGAAAAAAAUCAGCUUCUUAUGUCACUCUUUAAGAGAUAUGCACGUUUAUUUUAGAUUAAUAGAUUGUCUUCUAUAUAAGUAAAAAAUAUGUUUUAGAGCCUUGCAAUCUUGCUAGAUUAGAUAAAUUUCAGUUAACAUUAACCCCCAUUGUUGACUUCUCAGCCAACUUAUGCAGAUCUUGUCGACUGACCCUGGAAUUUAAGGACCUGAAAGAAUGGAGCAGACUCCAGGCUACUUCUGUAGAUAAACUUACUUCAAUUCUAGGACACUCUUAUACAUGAUUGUAACAAACGAAAAUAAAAUAAUCCACAAA